rnacentral:rRNA from 1 species
UACGUAGGCGGAAGAUUAAGUCAGUGGUGAAAUCCUGCAGCUUAACUGUAGAACUGUCAUUGAUACUGGUUUUCUUGAAUUUAGUUGAGGUAGGCGGAAUAUGUAAUGUAGCGGUGAAAUGCUUAGAUAUUACACAGAACACCGAUUGCGAAGGCAGCUUACUAAACUAUGAUUGACGCUGAGGUACGAAAGCGUGGGGAGCGAACAGGAUUAGAUACCCUGGUAGUCC